rnacentral:lncRNA from 1 species
UUUUUUUUUUUUUUUUUUUUUUUUUUUUUUGCUUUUUGCUUUUUAGGGCUGCACAUGUGGUAUAUGGAAAUUCCAAGGCUGGCGGCUACAGCUCCGAUUAGACCCCUAGCCUGGGAACCUCCAUAUGCUGCAGGAGCGGCCCUAGAAAAGGCAAAAAAAAAAAAAAAAAAAAAAGAGAAUCUCUAGUUUCACCAAUCUUCCUGCAAAUGGCAUUACUUUGUUCAUUUUUAUGGCUGAGUAGUAUUCCAUUGUGUAUAUAUACCACAUCUUCUUAAUCCAUUCAUCUGUUGGUAGACAUUUAGAUUGUUUCCAUAUCUUGGCUACUGCGAAUGGUGCUGCAGUGAACAUAGGAGUGCAUGUAACUUUUAGAAUGAAUGUUUUGUCUGGAUAUGUGCCAAGGAGUGGGAUUUCUGGAUCAUGUGGUCCUAUAUUUAGUUUUCUGAGGAACUUCUGUACUGUUUUCUAGAGUGGUUGUACCAAUUUGCAUUCCCACCCACAGUGAAGGAGGAUUCCCUUUUCUCCACACCCUCUCUAGUAUUUGUUAUUUGUUGAUUUGUUAAUGAUGUCCAUUCUUACAGGUGUGGGGUGGUACCUCACUGUGGUUUUGAAUUCUGUUUCUCUAAAAAUUAGUGAUGUUGAACAAAAAAAAUUUUUUUGUGCCUGCUGGCCAUACAUAUAUCUCCUUUGGAGAAAUGUCUAUUUAGGUCUUCUGCUCACUUUUUGAUUGGUUUCUCUUUUUUUUUUUCUGCUAAAAUAAUUUGUUCUAGUACAAUAUAUUUUAUUAUCAAUUAAUUUCUCAUCAAUUUUUGAUUCUAAGUUUUUUUAGAUAAAGACUUUUGUAUACUUCUUUGGGUAUGGAAAGCCUUUUCUCCAGAUUUCAUAUGAAUUAAAUAAAAUGUGAUUAUAUAUAAAAUUAUGUAGCAUAUUAAUUUGAGCAAAUUACUAAUAGAUAUUAUUGUACUCUUUCUCAAAUAUAUGUAAUUAGAUUAGUUAAAAUACAAUUUUAUAAAUAUGCUCAGCAAGUAGGAAGUAGAGGAAAGCUCUACAUUUUAUAUCAUUGUGCUAUUUGUUCUGUGCUAUAUUACGCAAAACACCUCUUUUGCCUUUUUCUUAGCGUAUUAUGAUGACAUGGUUUCUCUUUUGAUUUUAAGGCUUUCUGAACUUAUAAAAGCCAUUCACUGUGACUUCUUUUGGUGAAUGGCUCAUUGUAUUUUCCAAGUCCUGUUGUUUUACCAUCUUUGAAAACAAAUAAAAAUGACACUUCUAAACACUUCACUAAAACAAAUUAGAUUUAUUCUGAAGAGUUCAGCGAACAGCAUUUUGAAUGAGAUCCAUAAUGGGCUUUUUAAUUAAAUGAAUAUAGUCAUUUCGUAGAGGCAAUUAUCAUUAGUAGAGCAGUAUCGAGAUGACCGUUUCAUUCUAAUUGUGCUGUGUUGUUAUAUAAGGGGCCUCAUUUUAGGGUUGGUUUGAAUAGAUUUAUAUCUAAUAGUGUCUUGACACCUACUGCUCAUUUAAAAUGUAAAUAUUACUGCUUUCCCAAAGAUGAUAGCUUAAUAGUCUCAAUGAAAACAAAACAUUCUUGGAGUUCCUGUCAUGGCUUGGAGGUAAGGAACCCGACUAGUAUUCAUGAGGAUGAGGGUUUGAUUCCUUGCCUGGCUCAGUGGGUUAAGGAUCCUAUUGUGUGAACUGUAGUAUAGGCUGCAGAUACAGCUCAGAUCUGGCAUUGCUUGGCUGUGGUGUAGGCCAGCAGCUGUAACUCUGAUUCAAACCCCAGCCUGGGAACUUCUGUAUGCUGUGGGUGCAGGGCUAAAAAGAAAAAAAAAAAAAAA